AAAAUGCCACAAAACACUACACCAAUUUAGUUGAAUAACUACAUUUAGUUUGUGACCCUUAUUUUAAGAGCCACCAUUAUAAAAAAUUGUGACACUUAUCUCUAUCAUUUUUUUACCGUCAGAAACUUAAAUGUUACAAUAGUAAAAUUAUGAGUAGUGCUAGGGAGCCAAUGGCCUAAGUGUACAAUGUGUACAAUGGGCUAAAUCUUUGGUUUAUGAAUCAAAUGAACAUCACCUAUACUAUCCAGAAUAACCAUCCGGAUACCAAGGAUAAUAAACAUCUCAUGUUAUAAAAAGCUAAUUUUGGGUUCACCAAGGUUUGAACCCUUGACCUUCCGGAUCUAGAAUUCUUAUACCAUGUCCUGAAACCACUCAUCCCAAAAACGUAAUUUGACAAGACAAUGUAACACUAAUAAUAAUAUCUCUAAUACUUUCCAAACUUUCAUAUACUUUCUCUAAAAUUAUAGUCUGUCUCACUUUUUUUUUGUCAUAAACUCACCUCUCCCGAGUCACCAACUCACUGGCACUGCUCCCUCUUCCCUCACCUUCAUUCAUUCUAUUUUUUCUUCUAUCCAUUUCCCAUAAAUUUCGAAUUCAUCACUUCAGAUUCAGCAUCAAGGCGUCAUUAUGGAAACAAUGUAGGAGAACGAGAUCUUCGUGCUAGUAAAUCGAAUCGUGCAAAAUUCUAAUUUUCGAUGGAAAACAACUACGUGAGACUGAACGCCAGUGGCGGAAACAACUUCCUCAAAUCAAUGUUGGUGGCGAUCUGGAGAACGCGGCCACCGUAGACCAGGCUCCUGGCACAAGACGCCGCUUCCACAGUAGCAACCACCAACAACAGGGAGACUCCGUCACAGUCUCCGGUGCCAUCAAUUCCCGCUCUGAUAUCCACCACCGUGGCCGUAGAAGCUUGUCAAGUGGCAGAACUUGAUGUAAUACAAUAUAUAUACACUAAUUCUGUGGUGACCUUUGGUACUCUCUUCAACUUUGGUCAUAAAUUCUCUGUGACUGAGAUAUUCUCUUAGUGAUACUGCUGAAGUGUUUCAAGUUUUGAUUGAGAUCAGAUUUAAUAAUAAUGUUUCUUGCACGGCUGCACCUAGUAUUUCUACGGGCACUUUGAGUUCCAUGUAUAGUGAAAUAAUUGUUGUUCUAUUCAACAUUUAACUGUUUAUAUAUAGCUGAAGGUCUGGCUUUUAUUAAUAGUGUAUAUUGGAUGCAUUUUGAUGAAGUAUUUUCUGACAAGCUAAUUUAGCUUCUUUAUUCUACAACUUCAUCAUUUCUUUAAAAUGGUUGUGAAUUUUACUUCAAACCUGGACUACUCUUGUCUAAUACAGAAAAGAUGCAAUAUUAUGACAAUUCAAUCAUUUUCUAUGGUGAAAUUUAAAAACUGAUUCUAUUAUUCCUCUAUUUAUUCCUAACUCUAGCUAACUACCUUUCCCUUCAAAAGUUCCUCUAUUACAAAUCUAUUAGACCUAAAGGCCACUUGCCAUGCUUAUUUGUCUUGUAUACUAGCCCAUAUAAAUAGUCCCUAACAAAAUGCGAGGUAACUGGUUAAGCCUUCUCAAAGUCCUGAUAGUUGGAAGCUGAGUGAGAUUUUUGCAACUGGGAUUGUCCUAGGAGGUUAUCUGACUCUAAUGACAAUGAUAUUUUUUUGGGCAGCAUAUAAAAUACACUUUUUUCUAACCAUUUUCAUGUGAGACAUCUCCACGGAGAUCUUCAUGGUCCACCUACUCAUGAAGAGAGUAAAAUUCUAGGAGCUGCUAUAUAUCUUCAAGUCAGUAUAAUUAGUCAAGCCUUAAUUUUUGUGACUCGCUCAAGGGGAUGGUCCUAUAUAGAAAGGCCCGGUGUUUUUCUUAUGAUCGCUUUUGUUAUAACUCAACUGAUUGCAACUAUUGUAUCUGCCUUUCUCUCUUGGGAGCUAGCAGGAAUCAAAGCCAUAGGAUGGAGUUGGAUGGGAAUCAUCUGGG